ensembl:lncRNA
AUGUUGUAUGAAUGGAUCUAUAUUCAAAGGGACUCGAACUGUACACCGAUCACAAACUCAGACAAAAAUUUUUCACAAAGAGAUAAGCAGCAGAAUUUAUCAGGCGUGAAAGGGACAGCCUCCUGGUGGCCUGCCAAAAACCCAGAAUAAAGGCGAAGUUGUGCUUCAAAGCUCAGUCGCUUGCUGAGUCUGGCUAAAGUCAAGUAUUAAGAUCCACCAUUUUCUGAGCCAUGCUAGAAAAGAAGAAAAAAGUCAGGACGGUUGCUGCUUUCCAAGUCUCCGUUGGCACCAUCACAAAAUCUCAGUCGUAAGGUCACAUGAUUCUCUGCCAAAUGUAGAGUGCAUUCCCAUCAACCAUUCUGCUGAUACUGCGAAGGCAGCUAUUGUCUCGUUUAGACCCAAAGUUCAGCCCACUCUUCAUUGAAUUAGCUGAAAAACGCAUCACCUUUGGGGGCUGGGAGUCAUGGAAACGUCUACCUGGCAAGCUGCCCACUUUUUCUGCCCAUCAACCAGAGAUGGAAUUGUGCUGCCUAAUGCAAUGAUGACUUGGAAUGUGAAGAGUCGUCCAAAGUGAAUCUGAUUCUUGCAACGCCUGUUUCAGUUUGCACAGAAAACUCUGGCUUCUUGUAGUUAAGGGUGUGUGUGUGCUGGGGGGGAAUCCUUCAGACUAAAUGUAGCAAAUAAAGGUCUGAACAUGCCUACUCCGUAACUUUAU